UACGGAAGGUGCGAGCGUUAAUCGGAAUUACUGGGCGUAAAGCGCGCGUAGGCGGCUUUGCAAGCCGGAUGUGAAAUCCCCGGGCUUAACCUGGGAACUGCAUUCGGGACUGCAUUGCUAGAGUAUGGGAGAGGGAAGUGGAAUUUCAGGUGUAGCGGUGAAAUGCGUAGAUAUCUGAAGGAACAUCAGUGGCGAAAGCGACUUCCUGGACCAAUACUGACGCUCAUGUGCGAAAGCGUGGGGAGCAAACAGG
rnacentral:rRNA from 1 species